AUCAUGCGGACGUCCUCAUCGGCUUUCAUGAUCUUCUUGAUGCGGGCAAGAGGGAGUUGGUGGUUCUUGAAGUCGUUGACUUGCUCGAUUUCUUGGCGUUGGUAAGACCAGAACAUUUGCAGUUGCUGCUGCUGCUGUUGGAGGAGGUGGUGGAAAGGAGGGGGAGGGGUGGCGGAGGUGGUGGUGGAAGGAGUAGGGGUGAUAGCUGCAGUGGGAGGCUGAGGUGGGUAAGAGGACUGAGCUUGCUGGUUGCUGUCCAUUGGCUGAAGAGCAAGGGAGAGAUUUUGGGGCAAAUGGGGGAAAAUCACAAGUUUUGAAUUUCC
rnacentral:lncRNA from 1 species